UUGAACGCUGGCGGCAUGCUUUACACAUGCAAGUCGAACGGCAGCACGGGGGCAACCCUGGUGGCGAGUGGCGAACGGGUGAGUAAUACAUCGGAACGUACCCAGUUGUGGGGGAUAGCCCGGCGAAAGCCGGAUUAAUACCGCAUAAGUCCUGAGGGAGAAAGCGGGGGACCGCAAGGCCUCGCGCGAUUGGAGCGGCCGAUGUCAGAUUAGCUAGUUGGUGGGGUAAAGGCCUACCAAGGCGACGAUCUGUAGCUGGUCUGAGAGGACGACCAGCCACACUGGGACUGAGACACGGCCCAGACUCCUACGGGAGGCAGCAGUGGGGAAUUUUGGACAAUGGGGGCAACCCUGAUCCAGCCAUUCCGCGUGAGUGAAGAAGGCCUUCGGGUUGUAAAGCUCUUUCGGCAGGAACGAAACGGUGUGGGCCAAUACCCUGCAUCAAUGACGGUACCUGAAGAAGAAGCACCGGCUAACUACGU
rnacentral:rRNA from 1 species